GCGGCAGACGGGUGAGUAACGCGUGGGAACGUACCUUUUGCUACGGAAUAACUCAGGGAAACUUGUGCUAAUACCGUAUGUGCCCUUCGGGGGAAAGAUUUAUCGGCAAAGGAUCGGCCCGCGUUGGAUUAGCUAGUUGGUGAGGUAAUGGCCUACCAAGGCGACGACGGGUAGCCGGCCUGAGAGGGUGACCGGCCACACUGGGACUGAGACACGGCCCAGACUCCUACGGGAGGCAGCAGUGGGGAAUAUUGCACAAUGGGCGCAAGCCUGAUGCAGCGACGCCGCGUGAGGGAUGACGGCCUUCGGGUUGUAAACCUCUUUCGCCAGGGACGAAGCGCGAGUGACGGUACCUGGAUAAGAAGCACCGGCUAACUACGUGCCAGCAGCCGCGGUAAUACGUAGGGUGCGAGCGUUGUCCGGAAUUAUUGGGCGUAAGGAGCUCGUAGGCGGUUUGUCGCGUCGGCUGUGAAAUCUGGAGGCUUAACCUUCAG
rnacentral:rRNA from 1 species